UGACUUCCAUUUUGCCAAGCAUAAAGAAAAAAAAGUUUGUUCACCUAGGGUGAGGCUUAACCAUUGCACUUGGGCUAGGCUGACCUCUGUGAAUUCCCCAAAUGUGGGAAUCAUGAAUGCAUAAUUUGGGGUAGUGGGGAACUGCCUUCGCACUCUCCCUU